UUAGUGGUGUAGGGAAGCAAACGAAUGUAACACCAAUUGAAAGUCCUUCAACAAGUAGAGAUGCACACAUGUUUCAAUCAUUUGAGAUACCCUUUUGUAGAAGUAUUUGGAAGAUAACUAUUAAUAAUUUCAUUUGUAAAGAUACGAUUUGUAAAAAAGUAUAUACAAAGUGGUUUUGCUGGUAUUAAAUAAAUAAAUAAAAUAAAAA
rnacentral:lncRNA from 1 species